GGACCUCAUUAGGUCAUGUAUGGGUGUUGGUUGUGGGUUUGGACCUCGUUAGGUCGUGUACAGGUGUUGGUUGUGGGUUUGGACCUCAUUAGGUCAUCUAUGGGUGUUGGUGGUUGUGUAACAGCCCAAAAUCUCAAGUAUUGUUAAAUUGCAUUUUAGGGUAUUUUAAAGGAGGGNUUGGACCUUAUUAGGUCAUGUAUGGGUGUUGGUUAUGGGUUUGGAACUCAUUAGGUCAUCUACGAAUGUUAAUUGUCGGUUUGGACCUCAUUAGGUCAUGUAUGGGUGUUGGUUGUGUGGUUUGGACCUCAUUAGGUCAUGUGCGGGUAUUGGUUGUGGGUUUGGACCUCAUCAGGUCAUCUUUUGGUGUUGGUUGUGGGUUUGGACCUGAUUAGGUCAUGUAUAGGUGUUGGUUGUGGGUUUGACCUCAUUAGGUCAUGUACGGGUGUUGGUUGUGGGUUUGGACCUCAUCAGGUCAUCUUUUGGUGUUGGUUGUGGGUUUGGACCUCAUUAGGUGAUGUAUGGGUGUUGGUAGUGGGUUUGGACCUUAUUAGGUCAUGUAUGAGUGUUGGUUGUGGGUUUGGA
rnacentral:lncRNA from 1 species